UACAGAGGUCCCAAGCGUUGUUCGGAUUCAUUGGGCGUAAAGGGUGCGUAGGCGGCGCGGAAAGUCGGGUGUGAAAUCUCGGGGCUUAACUCCGAAACUGCAUUCGAUACUGCCGUGCUUGAGGACUGGAGAGGAGACUGGAAUUUCCGGUGUAGCGGUGAAAUGCGUAGAUAUCGGAAGGAACACCGGUGGCGAAAGCGGCUUCCUGGUCCAGCACCGACGUUCAGGCACGAAAGCGUGGGGAGCAAACAGG
rnacentral:rRNA from 1 species